GGCAUAUAGUAAAACAUUGACUACCGGAACACCACCGGAACACCACCAUUUUGUUUGGGGUUAGGGUUGGGGUUAGGGUUAGGGUUAGGUGGUGUUCCGUUGGUGUUCCGGUGUUCCGGUAGUCAGUGUUUUACUACAUGCC
rnacentral:miRNA from 1 species